AAAUUGAAGAGUUUGAUCAUGGCUCAGAUUGAACGCUGGCGGCAGGCCUAACACAUGCAAGUCGAACGGUAACAGGAAGCAGCUUGCUGCUUUGCUGACGAGUGGCGGACGGGUGAGUAAUGUCUGGGAAACUGCCUGAUGGAGGGGGAUAACUACUGGAAACGGUGGCUAAUACCGCAUAACGUCGCAAGACCAAAGAGGGGGACCUUCGGGCCUCUUGCCAUCAGAUGUGCCCAGAUGGGAUUAGCUUGUUGGUGAGGUAACGGCUCACCAAGGCGACGAUCCCUAGCUGGUCUGAGAGGAUGACCAGCCACACUGGAACUGAGACACGGUCCAGACUCCUACGGGAGGCAGCAGUGGGGAAUAUUGCACAAUGGGCGCAAGCCUGAUGCAGCCAUGCCGCGUGUAUGAAGAAGGCCUUCGGGUUGUAAAGUACUUUCAGCGGGGAGGAAGGUGUUGUGGUUAAUAACCGCAGCAAUUGACGUUACCCGCAGAAGAAGCACCGGCUAACUCCGUGCCAGCAGCCGCGGUAAUACGGAGGGUGCAAGCGUUAAUCGGAAUUACUGGGCGUAAAGCGCACGCAGGCGGUCUGUCAAGUCGGAUGUGAAAUCCCCGGGCUCAACCUGGGAACUGCAUUCGAAACUGGCAGGCUUGAGUCUUGUAGAGGGGGGUAGAAUUCCAGGUGUAGCGGUGAAAUGCGUAGAGAUCUGGAGGAAUACCGGUGGCGAAGGCGGCCCCCUGGACAAAGACUGACGCUCAGGUGCGAAAGCGUGGGGAGCAAACAGGAUUAGAUACCCUGGUAGUCCACGCUGUAAACGAUGUCUACUUGGAGGUUGUGCCCUUGAGGCGUGGCUUCCGGAGCUAACGCGUUAAGUAGACCGCCUGGGGAGUACGGCCGCAAGGUUAAAACUCAAAUGAAUUGACGGGGGCCCGCACAAGCGGUGGAGCAUGUGGUUUAAUUCGAUGCAACGCGAAGAACCUUACCUGGUCUUGACAUCCACGGAAGUUUUCAGAGAUGAGAAUGGUGCCUUCGGGAACCGUGAGACAGGUGCUGCAUGGCUGUCGUCAGCUCGUGUUGUGAAAUGUUGGGUUAAGUCCCGCAACGAGCGCAACCCUUAUCCUUUGUUGCCAGCGGUCCGGCCGGGAACUCAAAGGAGACUGCCAGUGAUAAACUGGAGGAAGGUGGGGAUGACGUCAAGUCAUCAUGGCCCUUACGACCAGGGCUACACACGUGCUACAAUGGCGCAUACAAAGAGAAGCGACCUCGCGAGAGCAAGCGGACCUCAUAAAGUGCGUCGUAGUCCGGAUUGGAGUCUGCAACUCGACUCCAUGAAGUCGGAAUCGCUAGUAAUCGUGGAUCAGAAUGCCACGGUGAAUACGUUCCCGGGCCUUGUACACACCGCCCGUCACACCAUGGGAGUGGGUUGCAAAAGAAGUAGGUAGCUUAACCUUCGGGAGGGCGCUUACCACUUUGUGAUUCAUGACUGGGGUGAAGUCGUAACAAGGUAACCGUAGGGGAACCUGCGGUUGGAUCACCUCCUUA
rnacentral:rRNA from 1 species